GUCAGGUGUGGUGGUACAUUCCUUUAGUCCCUAGAAGCUGGGUCCAGGAGCUCUAGGCUGUAGUGUGCUAUGCUGAUUAGAUGUUUCCAUUGUUUGGCAUCAGUAUAGUGACUUUCCAGGAGCAGGGACCAACAGAGAUUGCCAAAGAGUUUGGAGCCGACCAAGGCUGAAAAUGGAGCAAGUCACACCCCAGAGAUGGUCAGUAAUGGGAUCACCCAUGAAGAGCCACUGCAUGCUAGCCUGGGCCAGAGU
rnacentral:SRP_RNA from 1 species